AGAAUAUAAGAACCCGUCUCUUAACUUUUAACUAAAAAAACUAAGAACCAGCUUUUAAAUAUCUUAUUUAAGAGUCGGUUCUUAGUUUUUUAGUUAAAAGUUAAGAGACAAGUUCUUAUAUUUC
rfam:Brassica napus, WGS project CCCW01000000 data, contig: 17537